rnacentral:lncRNA from 1 species
CCUGUUGCUAAUUUCAUUCCACCACCUACUCACGUGCUUUCUACUGCUAAUCAUAUGCUCCCUAUUCAUGGGACCCACCAAGUACUGGGUAAAAGGUAAGUGGCUAAGAUCAGCCAGGCUAAAGAAAUCUCCAGCUAAGUACUUGCUCUUUGAGAGCCUCUCCUCAUAAACAUCCAAAACCUUUGCUAUCUUUUCUUCACUCUCUUUUAUUAUCUUCUCGUCAGCAGGAAAUCCCAGAGCCGAAGCAAAUAGGAUGUGAAUGGUCAAAUCGUAAAUAGGAGGGUGGUAGUUUUGGGCCUCCACCUCCAGCCAUUGCUCCACUAAUCCCCUCUCUUCAACGUUCUUUCCAAGCAAAUCAGUUCCUUGGGAUUUGUACUUUUCCGCAUAAUACCUCAUGAUUGCUCUUGAUUCUAUCCAUCCGAUCAGAACCCAUUAAAAUCAAAUCCAAUUUAAAACUUAACAUUAUCUUUAAAUUCAUGAUUAAUGUUAAACAAAAUGUAAAUAUUAAGAAUUAUAUAUAUAGAAAAUACAUAUACGAAGGGAGAAGACAAUUUUUUUUAAAUUGCAAUUGUGUACGUAAAUUUUCCAAAAAUAGAAAGAUAUAUUUAUAACUUUUAUGAUAAACUAAUUUUUCACUCUAAAUCUUAUAUAUAUACAUAUAAAAUCAACCCUAAUAAUUAAAUUUCUACAUUUUAAGCUGUCAAACGGAAAGAAAAUCUUUCUCCAUUCAACUUUUGAUUAAUUAUUUGAGACAUAAUAAAAGUAUUAUUGAAAAAUAAAUUACUUUUUUAUCUGACCUUAAAAUUAACGCACAUAUCUCUUAACUUUUAAAAUUGAUUCCUAUAUUUUAAUCUUUAUCUAACUAUGAAAAUAUACAGUAUUUCAAUUCAUAUAUAGAGACAAUUAAAUUAUUAAAUUUUAAAAUAUCAAAUCUUAUUUGAUUCGGAGAAAUUUAGGCAAGAAAGUUAAAGUUUUUUAAAAGUAUCAAAAGAGACUUAUUAGAUUAGUAUUUUUUUUGUAAUUGAGAAUUGAAAAUUAGAAAAUAGAAUUUGAGAUUUCUCAGAUUUAUUCAGAUAUUCUUACCACCAAACUAAAUUCGUGAGUGCAGAUUAAUCUUUUUAUUUUUGAAAUUUUUAAUUCUACUUUAUAGUGAAAGAAGUAAAUUAAUUAAUAUCACACACUUAAGCCCUUAUUUGAUUUAAGGUAGUCACUUUUUAAAAAAUUUACUUCUCAAAAAUAACUUAAUUAAAUUAAGAAAAAUAAACUACUUUUCAUCUAUAAAAAAAUUUGACAUUUCAAAAAAUUUUAAAAAAAUAUCAACUAAACAGAUACAAUUUUAAUAUUUAAAAUUUUUAAAUUAUCUAUUUAAAUUAUCCUCAACUAAAUAAGACUUAAUUACAAUUUCUGAAUAAAAAUUUCUUUUGCUUCUCACUAUCGUCAUGCGUUUUCUUCUUCUUCUUUUUUUUUUUCUCCACACUCAUUGGUCAGUUCAAUAGCUUACAAGUUUUUUUUUCCUCUUAACAUCUAUCACUAUUAGUAUUUCUUUAUUAUUAUUUUGAAUUAUUAAAAUUAAACUUGACUUUUUCUAUUUUGCAAUUUCAUUUUAGUUAGAUUUUUCUUUUUUUUUUUAAUUUCAUUUCAAUUUAUAAGUAUUUUUAGUACAUAUAAAAUUUUUAAUUAUAAUAAUAUUUUUAUCAAAAUACAGCGUUAAAAAAUUUAUAGAUUUAUUAUCAUGUGAUUUACAUUAUAGAAUAUGUUAUUGAAUUAAUGAAUUAUUGCCAUUAAAAUAAGGAAUGUCUUUUUAAUUUUAUUUUUAUUAACAACAAUUUUAUUUUUUUUAAAUUGAAAAAUAACUUUACCGUAAAUAUAUUUUUAAAAAAAUAAACUUCUAAAAAAUAAGUAAUUUAAAUUAAAUAAGGCCUAAUUUGAACUAAAUGAAAACUUAAAAAUAUAUAUACAUAUUAAAUUUUAAUAUAAUUGAUAGAUUAAAAAAAAAUUCUAUAGUUUUUAACGAUUAAACUUCUAUCUUUCCGCACUCACAUGAUUUACGUCAUAAUAAAUUCUAAAUAAAUUUUAACUAAAUCUAAGAGAUCUAAAUUCAACACCCCAAUUCUCAAUUCUCAUUUUAAAAAACCCUUUCCUCAAUAAAAUUUAAUGGAGUUACAAAAUUUUUUAUCCUUAUUUUCUUCUCAAUCAAAUAUAAAAUAAACGAAAGCAAAAACGUUUUCCUCUCCAAAUUUCAUUCAUCCCAUGGAAUUCCAUCAAUCCAAGCACAAACAAUGUGAAGUUUGCAAUAUGCUAAUCCACAGCACAAGUUUUCUAAAUUAUCCCAAAUAAGUUAUUCUCUAAUUGACAGAGGAUUAUCGAUGAUUACUUACCGUAUAAGAUGUAAUCUCCAUCUUGAAUUACAGGAAGCACUCCGAAAGGCUUGAAUUGUCAAGAAAAAGAAGCGAAUUCAGCGCGAAUCAACUCCAAAAGAAUAAACACAGAUAUGUAAACGAAAACAAACAGAAAAAAGAAUCCCAAACCUGUAACUUGAGAUAUUCAGGGCUUCGAUGCUCCCCUUUGAUGAGAUCCACAGGAACAGCUUCAAAUUGGAUGCCCUUUUCAAUAAGGCAAGCAAGAACUCGCUUUGGACAAGCAUAGGCAGGACCGUACACCUUCACCACCAUUUUUUCCAAUGAGAGAUUAGGCAACAAGGUGUGGGUCUGUGAGGAGAAGGGCUGUGUUAGUAUUCUAGACGAGGGUUUUCUUGCGAUUUAUGAAGAAGAAAGUUGCUGGGUGCAUGGGUGGGAAUAAUUUUGUACGGGCACGUGCAUUUAUCUUAGCUGGACUUGGUAGGAGAUUUUUUUAAAAAAAUUUAAAAUAAAAUAUAUUCUCUAAUUAAUCAUUUUUAUUGUUUUAAUAGUUAAUAAUUAUUUAGAUAAUUAUUAAUUAAAUAUUAUAAAUAAAAAUAAUUUUUUAUAAUUUAUUUUCUUAAUAUAUAAAUAUUAGUGUUUUAUGAUUAUUCUCAGAUAGAAUUAUAAUAUGUGUUUAUUUUAUUUAAAUAAUAAAAAUAAAUUUCAAUAAUAUAAAAUUAUAAUAUAUAUAAUAUAAUAUCAAAAAUUAAUUUUUGGUCAGUCAAUAUGAGACAAUGAUUAGUGUUUGGUAAUUAAGCAAAGUGUUUAUACAUGAGCAAAGAAAAAUCAACUUUCUUUCUUCUUUUUAUUUUUUUAUUUUUUAUUUUAAAGAAAAUUACUAAAAAAUGAUAAUUGUCCUUAAAAAGAAAUAUCUUCACAUAAGAAAGUGACGUGAGAUGACAAUUUUGAAAAUAGGGAUUUUUUUUAAAUAUUUGGGAUAUACGUUGGUCCAAUAUAAUUUUAAUAUAUAAUUUAAAAUAUUGAGAGUUUAAAAUAUUAUAUAAAAUUUUUAACUUUUUAUUAGUUAAAUUAUAAAUUGAGUUGCGUAUAAAUGAACAACACAUACCCUAAUAUCAUAAUUACCUAUCAAUGAUUUCCAAAGCACACAAACUCAUUAUCAUUUCAUUUAAAUCAAAUACAUCAAUGGCCUCAUAUUUUCAUAAAAGCUGAAUUGGAAUCUUGACUUUUUCAUUAUUAGUAUUUAAAUAAUUAAUUUUUAUAAAAAUAUAAUUAUUAAAUUAUAUUAAUUCAAUAAAAAAAGUUAAAAUACUAAUUGAUUUUUUAUACAACAAAAAGAGUCAAAUGAUGUGUAUAGAAUUUAUAUUUUCUUGAAUUAAUAUCAUUGCCUAUUGAAUUUACUUCUCCAUGCGCAAUUGAACUGUUAAACUAAAAGCCUCCUCUAUCUUAUAGACAACUUAAAGACUUUAGAUUUAUGUGCAUGUGUUUUUUCUUUUAAUUCUUUCUGCAUAAUCAAUAAAAAAAUCAGAAAAAAAAGAAAUUAUUAUUUAAAUCAGUGAAAUUAUUUCCCUAUUCUUAAAAAAACAUAAAUUAAUUUUUAUGUUUUCAAUUGGUCAAUUAUUAGAAAAAUUAAUUUUUAUCUAUUUAGUUUGAUUUUGAAAUUAUAAAUAUUGGUACUUUCGUUUUGAAAUUGCAAAAAUUAAUUAGGGAUAAAGAUAUCUUAGUUUAAAUGAAUCCAUUUGCAGUUAAAAAAAAGAAUCCACUUACUUUUCAUAUGAAACCACCACCACAAUUUAGAGUCCUUCCCAUGAAUUUUUUCAUCUGCCCCAUUUUAUGGUUGCGGCCCAAAUUAACUCAUCUAAGGUACUUUUAGCCCUUUCGAUUAUAUUUUCUCCCACCAAAACGCUGUUUAGCUUAUGCUAUGAAAUGUCAGACUUAUAAAUUAAUUUGAGUUUAUAUAUAAUUUUAAAUUUUAAAUUGUUACAUAUUUAAUAUAAAUAUUAAUAAAUAAUAGUUACAAGUUAAGCUUAUAAAUAAUUUUAAAUUUUAAAUUAUUACAUAUUUAAUAUUAAUAAGUGAUAGUUACAAGUUAAGCUUAUAAGCAAUUUUAUAGUUACAAGUUAAAAGUUAAUGUGUUUAAUUAAAAAUAACUUAUAAGUACAUCUAUGACUUAAAAAAUAUAAAUUAUUUUUUUAUUAAAUGAUUACAUACUAUAAUUUUAAUUUUUUAAUAAAAAUACUAUAAUAAUUUAAUUAAUCAAAUUCAUUUAUAAACAUUAAAAUAAAAAAGCUGAAAAUCAGCCCUUUUUUUUUUUCAUAUACUUAUAAAUUUAUCACAUUACUACAAAGAAACAGAUGAUUUAAAUUUUAAAAACUUUCAUAAACAGAUUUGAGCAACACCCUGUAAAAAGCUUAGAUUUUCUACCAUUAUCACUGCUCAUAUGCAAGGACUAGAGGUGCUUCACAAUCUCUUUCCAGAAAUUGCCUUUAAAAAUGAUCCACUUACCAAUCAACACAAUCAUGGCAAACUAUAAAAUCCAUAAAAUUUUGGAUCAAACUCAAUGUUCAAAAACAAAUCCAUUGACAUUGAUGAAUCCUAUAUAUAUCACAAAAACAAAAAAGGCUCAAUAAUCCAAGUUGCAUUUAAAUAAAGAGGAAAAAGAAAUCGGCAUCACUGAGAUUUAAGCUUGGAGACUUGGAUAAACCACUGUUUUACUAGAAGCCAUAUGUAACUUGAAACUGAUCUCAAUAUCAAUAAUUUUAGAAUCAAAAUAUAAGUGCAAAUAUUUUAUAGUAUUGAAAUCCAAUACAUAUCAUCAUAGCAAAAGAAACACAACAUGGCAAAUUGGACACGGCCAGAAUACAGCACACACCUUCUCCCCCUUUCUCUUCUUUAUAUCUCUCUCCCUCCCUCCCCCAAAGGACAAAACACGAAACAUACAAAGAGCAGUCCUCAACAUUUAUUUAUCAUAGACAUCCAUGAUCAUGCAUAAACAUAUACUGUCUUAGAGUUGGAGGACCUUCUUCCAAGAUGGCCUGUUGCUAAUUUCAGUCCACCACCUACUCACGUGCUUUCUACUACUAAUCAUAUGCUCCCUAUUCAUGGGACCCACCAAGUACUGGGUAAAAGGUAAGUGGCUAAGAUCAGCCAGGCUAAAGAAAUCUCCAGCUAAGUACUUGCUCUUUGAGAGCCUCUCCUCAUACACAUCCAACACUUUUGCUAGCUUUUCUUCACUCUCUUUGAUGAUCUUCUCAUCAGCAGGAAAUCCCAGAGCCGAGGCAAAAAGGAUGUGAAGGGUCAAGUUGUAAAUAUGAGGGUGGUAGUUGUGGGCCUCCACCUCCAGCCAUUGCUCCACUAAUCCCCUCUCUUCAAUGUCCUUGCCAAGCAAAUCAGUUCCUUGGGACUUGUACUUUUCCGCAUAAUACCUUAUGAUUGCUCUCGAUUCUAUCCACCCGAUCAGGACCCAUUAAAAUCAAAUGCAAUUCAAAAGUUAACAUUUAUAAUUUAACAUUAUCUUUAAAUUCAUUAUUAAAAUUUUAAAAAAGUUAAAAUUAAAAAUUAUAUAUAUAUAUAUAUAUAUAUAUAAAUGAUUGGGAGAAAACAAUUAAAUUGCAAUUAUGUACGUGAAUUUGAAAUAUUAAUUGUCCGUUCGUUUUCUUGUAUUAAAUAAUAAUAUAAAUUUAUUAGUUAAUUUUUUAAUUUUAUAAAAAUCAAUUCGUAUUCGAUUAAAAAGAAAUCGAUCAAAUAGAAUUAAUUUAAAAUUUUAAUUCGAUUUUUUAUUUAUUUUCAUUUGAUUCAAUUUUAAUUUUAAAAAUAUUGAUUAUUUUGAUUCAGAUAAAAAAAAUUAUAAAAAAAUCACACUAAACCAGUUACUGAUAAUAUUAUAUUAUUUUUAAUAAUAUAGAGAUUAAAUUAUAAUUAAAAUUAAAAUAUUUUAAAUAAAUUUUAAAAUAAAAAAUAAUGUAAAAAAUAAAAAAUUUAUUAAAAAUUCAAAUCGAUCAAACCGAACUGAAUCGAACUGAUUCGAUCAAUUUAAUUUCUGAUAAAAAUCGAUUUUAUUCAAUUUUAAUAAAUAUUAAAAUUUUAAUUUUUAAUUUAUUCAAUUAAAAUAUCCAUCCUAAAAAAAAUAGUUAUUAAUUAUUCAUAUUAAAAAUAUUUUAAAUUUUUUUUAAUAUUUAAUAACUUAAUAGUUAAAAAUUAAUAAUUAAUUAAUAAAUUAUAAAUUUUUUUAUACUAUAAAAAUUAAAUAAUAAUUUUUUAUUUUAUUUAAUUCAACGAUUAAAAUUAAUUAUUAAAAUUAAUAUAAAAAUUAAUUAAUAAAAUUUUUAAAUUUUAAAAAUUUAAUCGUUAAAAUUAAUAUAAAGAUUAAUUAAUAAAAUUUUUAAAUUUUAAAAUUUAAAGUAAUAACUGCAUCUCAAUAAAUCUGUUAGAUUUUAGAUUCUACUUAACAAUCCCUAAUCCCUAUUUUAAAAAAAAAUUAAUUUUAAAAAUAUUUUAAUAUAUUUUUUAAAAGCUAGAGAUUAUUCAAUAAAUUUUUAUAUAUUAUAAAAAUUAAAUAAUAAUUUUUAUUAUAAUAAUAUUAUAUAUUAUAUAAAAAUAAUUUAUUAUAUAUAAUCAUUUAUAUUUCUAUUUUAUUAUUAAAUAUCAUAUUGAAAAAUAUUUUUACUAUUUAUUUUUAUACUAAAAAUUUUAGAAAACGGUUUUUAAGAGGUAAAAAAUAAAAAAUAAAAAAAGUUGUUUAUAGUUAAAAAAUAAAAAAAAAAAAACAAAAAAAGAGAAAUCCUACGAUAUUAUCAAUCAACCUAAAUCAUAGGAUUUUAAAGAUUAAAAAGUAAUUUUGUCUAAUUUUUAACAUUUAACACCCAUCUUUCCUCAAUAAAAAAUAAUGAAGUUAGAAAUUUUUUAUCCUUAUUUUCUUCUCAAUCAAAUAUAAAAUAAACAAAAAAUAAAAACGUUUUCCUCUCCAAAUUUCAUUCAUCCCCAUGGAAUUUCAACAAUCCAAGCACAAACAGUGUAAAGUUUGCAAUAUGCUAACCUACAGCAUAAUUUUUCCAAAUUAUCCCAAAUAACUUAUACUCUAAUUGACAGAGGAUUAUGAAUGAUUAAUUACCGUAUAAGGUGUAAUCUCCAUCUUCAAUUACAGGAAGCGCUCCGAAAGGCUUGAAUUGGCAAGAAAAAGAAGCGAAUUCAGCGCGAAUCAACUCGAAAAAGAAAAUACAUAUACAUAAACAAAAACAAACAGGAAAAAAAAAAAAAUACCGAACCUGUAAUUUGAGAUAUUCAGGGCUUCGAUGCUCCCCUUUGAUGAGAUCCACAGGAAUCGCUUCAAAUUCGAUGCCCUUUUCAAUAAGGCAAACGAGAACUCGCUUGGGAGAAGCAUAGGCAGUACCGUAUACCUUCACAACCAUUUUUUUCCGAUGAGAGAUAAGGCAACAAGGAGUGGGUCUGUGAGGAGUAGGACUGUGUUAGUAUUUGAAAGGAGGGUUUGCUUGUGAUUUAUGAAGAAGAAAGCUAGUGGAUGGGUGGGUGGGGAAUUUUGUAUGGGCACGUGUAUUUAUCUUAGCUGGAGUUGGUAGGAGAAUUUUUUUAAAAAUUUUUAAAUAAAAUAUAUUCUCUAAUUAAUAAUUUUAUUUUAAUUAAUUAAAAUUUAUAGAAAAUAGCUAAAACUAUUUUCCAUGCAUCAGAUGAUUGGAAAUUUGCUAUUAAAAUUAAUUUUCAAAAAAUUUAAUUCUAACAUAUACAAUUAAUCUGAGAUAAUUCCAUUAAUAAAUUCACUUUUUUUUAAAAGCAACUUAUAUUAAAUUGGAUUAUAGCUGUAAGGAUGGGUUAUGUCAUGACUUUGCUCACCUCUUGGCUGCUUUCAUUUGGUCCGUUCAAUAAUUAAUACUUUAUUUAAAAUUCCACCGAGUUGUUGAAAUCAGGGAGAAAUUUUUUAUUUCUGUCCUGCUUUUUUUUUUUAUAAAAUAAAAUUUUCUGACAUCUUUUUAAACUUUCAACCAUAAUUAUAGUGGUGAUGUAUGAAAGACAAAGUUAAGAUGUUUUACUACAUAAAAAAAAAAAAACUUUCAUUUGCAUUUCAAUUUUCCAUAAAAAUUACAAUAACAAAACAAAUUAAAAGCCAAUAAUCGGAUUUUAGCUAGAAAAAGAAAUUAGUUCAUUGUUAAGAAUAUGAUAACAAUCAUUUUGACUAUAACAAUAAUGAAUGGAACUUUGAAAUAACUUAUAAACAUCAAUCCAAAAAUCACCAAAGCUACCAAAUUCAAUUUUAAAUUUUAUUUCAGUUUAGAAUAAUAUGUUAGUUAAAAGAAGACGAAAAGGAAAAUGAAUCUAAUCAAUAAUACACUCAAGGUACAUUAAAGGGGCAGAGGAAAUGCAUCUUUGAAUAUAUAAAAGCAAAAUACAUUUCCUUCCAUCAUCUCAAACAAACAACAAAAUUUUAAAAUAAAAAAGUACUACAUUCAUAAUGACUAAUGGAGCCCAUUCCUUUAAAACAAAAAUGACAAAAUCUAAAUAAUCUUAUCAUCAUUUUUCUGAUUUUAUAAAGAAAGAAAAAAAAAUCAUCAAUAAAUAUUGAGAUAAAUAAUUUAAUAUUUUAUUUUUUUAAAUGAAAUUAAAUGUUCAAUUUUUAUAAAUGGAACAACCAAUCAGAAUGAUAUCAGCAUUUAUAUAUUUUUUUUUUUUAAAAAAGAAGAAGAAAUAUCUGCUACGGCAACAAUGGGCUUGUCCGAUCAAACUAGACGGCCAGGCAAAGACAUUUUGGAUUCCAUAUACAAACAUGAGCAAUCCCACUCACAAGUCAAUUUUUGCAUCACCGAUUGGAAUUUACAAUGCAAGCAGCUCCUAAUGCUGUUGACCGUUUGACAAAGCUAUAAUAACAGCUGUAUUUGCAUAAUCAGCUUCAAAGCUCGAAAAAAGCAAAAACAUCAUAUUUGGUGCUUCAAUUCAGAUUUAAAAGCACAGGAGCGCAUUAUCGACACGUCAACUGUUAAAUAAAAUCACAAUUCAUUGGAACAUCAAAAUGAUACCGUUGCUCAUCAGAAUGAAAGAACUGACAUGGAAUGCGUUGAAGUCUGUAACUUAGAAAGAGCAGUAUCACUUUCAUCGUGCUCAUUAAAAACUAUGGGUCUCCCAUUGAUAUUCUUCCUGUGCAUAUCAGACAGACACAAUUAUAUUUUAUAAACAUGGAAUAGGUUUAUGAUCCUCAAAGAAAAACUAGUGCUUUAAUUACAUCUUUUUCUUAAUGAGGGCAGGCAAAGAACGAAAAAACUAACAGAUAAUCUGAUUCAGUGACUUUGAUUAUCAUUUUAUAUAAAGAGCUCCUGCUGCUCCGAAAAGUGAUUCCAGAUUGGCACAUAGUAUGUUUGUUUGCAAUGUCAAUAAAAGUGUGCUAAAAUUGUAGCCCACACUGUCCCAUUGUUGGACCAGCAGAAUCAGAGUUUAUAACUUGCUGUUGGGCAAGAAUAUGUAAGUGGUUUUGGGAGGAAAGGCACUAUUUGUUCCGUUUUAGAGUUACCUUACCACCACAAAAGGGGUUGAGGUUUGAGAGGAAAGGCAAUUUUGCCUCCUGACUCGAUGCCUCCAAUUUUUCCACCCAAAGCUUAGAUUAGUACUACAAUGCAAGAAGAAAAGGAAGCAAGCAUACUUUUGUGAGAUAGAACUCUCUUCAGACAGUGCCUUCUCUAGCCUCUCCUCAAAUGAUGUUGCAUGCCAACUCACUUUUUGAUCCUGAAAACAAAGGAAGCAUUCCUUAAAUCCAGCUGCUGAUGUUGCAAGCAAGGAUAAGAGAAAUUUAGCUGCAGAACAUACUUCCUUGUACUUAUUAGUUGAAUUUGGAAUUCCAUUCCCAUCCCAUGACUUCGGGGAGAUGUGAGAAGGUUCGUUCUCAUUCCAAUGAGCAGCAACCAUCCCAAUGAUAGGCCUGUCCAUAGGAGUUUUACCAAAACGGAAAUUUUUUCUAGAUGCAGUUCUAUCAUUUGGAUCAUCAUUAUCACAGGUGGACUGUCGCGGUUUAAACCAAGAAGACAAGCUUGCUUCCACCUUCAAUUCCGGCACAGACGAAGCUUCUUUACCUCCAGCUGAUUUAGGUGUUGAAUUUUCCAGCUGCUCAGAAGAUUCCAUCAGCUGACUCGUCACUUGAAAAGAACUAGAAUCAUCUUCCAGGCGGACCUUCCAUUGGGAGGCAUUCUCAACUGGAUUCCGGACUGGAUACACAUACUGAGACCUAAUCCUAGUCUUCCCAUUUGCUAGUUCUACAUUUGUAGGGAAAACUGUUCCUGGUGUUUGCAUCUCAUCAGAAAGUUUUAAUGGAGUUAGUUUUGGAGAAGGCUUUGUUACACUGAAAUCGCCUUGGGAUUCAAACUUGCUUAAAUUUUGGCCCCCAUUUUCAAAUGAAGACCCUUUAGACGAGGAUGUAUCAAGGUUGCAUUCGAAGCGAACAUACUUUUUCUUGGGUAGAACAUCUGUUGCUGUUCUAGGACUUCCCACUUCACCACCUUCAACGUAGCUGAAAGAUAUCCUUCCAGCGUUCUGUACGCUGGAUAUGCGGCUACAUGAAAUGAAUGAAAUUUGGCAAUAUCAGCAUAAUAACUUCUUAUGGAUAAAACCAAAGGGAUAAAAACACACAUGUUUCUAAAUUCUAUUGGACGAAUUCCAACUGAGAAAAAACUAUAAAAACCCGUUGAAUGAGUCAUCUCAUUGAAAGAAGUAAAGUGAAUAGGAUUGCACAAGCUAUUACCAAGCUGAUUGGAGCCAACCCUUAACGUUGUAAAACCCUUUUUUUUUUCAAAAAAGAAAAAAGUCCAUGUGACAUUUGCUUAAGAAGAGGUUGCUUGUGUUUGUGCAUCAACUGUCUGAUGACAAUUCAUUAGGAUUAGAGGUUCAACCUGACAGGUGUGUGCUCUGAAGAGCCCGAAGAGUUUCCCGACUCUUUACCAAGUUUGACGGGAGUAGAGAGCUGAUCAAUUUGCCUAUCCAACUGAAGGUUCUUGAUCGAUGAGCUGGGAAGCCACGAGUGAUAAUCUGAAGACUCUGAAUCUUUAGCAAGAGGAGCUGCAGCCUUUAACUUCUCAGACGCUUUCCGAAUUUCAGAAGGCGUCUCAGGUGAAGUGCCACUGGCCUUUAGAAAUUUGGUCUACAGGGAAAAGUAAACAACCAAAAACGAUAUAAUAUUAAACAUCACCUGAAUUCUCGUAGUCAUCAAGAUAAUAAGAAAAAGGGUAAUUAUUCUGGGAUUUACUGUGUUCUAUCAAAAAAAAUACUUAUGAUCUUUUUUUUAAUCAUUCAAUUAAAAUAAUAUAUUUUUAAAAUUAAAUUUUAGUCAUUUUUAUUAAUCAACUUAUUUUCACCUUAAAUAUUUAUAUUAUUUAAUUUUUAUAAAUUUAACUAUUUAAUUUCUUUGAUUAAAGUUGAAAUAAAUUAAUUAGCAUUAAUUGACAGAAGAGUUAAAGAUUUUAAUUUUUAUAAAAUAUAAAAAUAUUUUAAUUGAGUUUUCACGAAAUGCAGAAACCUUAACCUUAUAGCAAUUUACUUUUCGAAGUUCGAAUAACCAACUAAACUAUAAAGAUUAAGGUAGAACUAAAAUGUCCAGGAAGAAAUUUAAGGAAUGCAAAUUCCAUUGUAAAUUAAACCUUCAGCGUACUGAAAAUUAAUUUAUGCUAAAGAGGGCCACCCUGAAUUUAGCAGAUUUUUAGAUUGAGAGCAACUAUAUAAUACAUUUAUGGUUUCAACAUUGAAAAACGUAGUAUAGAUCAGAAUAUCAAUAUUCCAUUCCAAGCAAACCAAAUAAUUAAUGGAUACCUCAUCCAUCAGUUCCUUGUUGAUUUGCGGAGAUCCGGCAAAACGGUUUUUCCUGUCAUAGUAUAGAGAAUCUUCUCUCUCUUUUAGAUGCGAGAAAAUAUAGUAAAGUACAAUUCAAAAGAAAAGGGGAAAACAAUUAUCAGUCCACUUUGAAUGAAAAUAAUUAUAUAAGAAAGAUAGUUGAACAUUAUUUACCUUCAGCCAGAAAUAGAGAAGACAAACGAUUUUUAGACACCACAGGCUCCUGAUUGGCAUUCAUAAAACAGAUGAUAACCAGUUAGUACAAUAAUUGAGUAAUUGCUUUUUCUGAAUAAUUUUCCACUCAACCAAACAGAAAUUAUAAUUGCACAUAACCAAAAAUCUCCCACUAAAAUUUGAAAUGUUAACUAAAACCUAUCAUUAACUGAAAUCCCUCCAUUUUUAUCUUCAAGUGUUAAAAAACCCUUUCAAUUGCAGUUCAAACUGAGGUAAAUAAAAUUGCAAAUAAAUAAAGCAUUAGAGUUCCUUUUUCCUAAAAAUCUACACCAGGCAACGCUCUAUUUUCAAGGAAUGGGACAAAAAGGAAAACAAAAUACAAGAUCAAGAAGCAAAGUACAUUUAGCUUAGGUCGAGAUGAAUGGGAGACGAGGUGAGGUCCCCGGCGAUCAUCUCUGGCACGAAAACAACCAAAUAAAAAGCCCAUGGCUCUCGACACCGAUCUGUCAAUAAAUCUCAACACCGACUUGAGAAUCAGUCCAAUUUCUCGCUUCAACAAUGCGCAUACCAUAUCAGUCCGCCUUCUAUUUUGUUCUUUUCUAUUUUAUCAGUGGGAUUAAUCAGGGAGGGAGAGAGUUGUUGGGUCGUUUUUGAAAUUUGAACCAACUAAACGAGGGAAAGAUCUUCUUUAAGCCUUACGGAGGGUACGAACUUACAUAUAAAUUAUUUUAUUAAUUAAAUUAAAUAUUUAUUCAUGAAUUUAUUAGCUAUAUUAAAAUUUUUAAUAAAAAUAUUUAAUUUAAUGAUAAUUAAAUUUAUUGUUAUAAUGCAAGCAGUGUGAUCGAGACACGUGUCGGGCUUCCACAAGUUUUGGAUGAUGAAGAAAGGUUGAUAUUUUCCAUAAUAAAAUCAAUGGUCUUUUAUGUUUUUAUCGAAAAGCUAAAAUUCUCAGCUUUAUAUGUUACGGCAUAGCUUUCGAGAAAGCCAACCAAGAGCUAAAUUUGUUCUGACGUUUUAUCCUAAUCCAAAAAGGUUUGAUUAAUCUUUUUGAGACGGAAAAAGAAAAAAUUGGUCAAAAACCGUUUACUUUCCAAAAAAUUAUUAUGCAUACAAAACACUCUCUAAUUAAUUUAUUUUUAAUAAUUUCAUUAUAAUUUUAAUAAGAUUUGUGAAUAAAACGUAAAAGGAUUAAUAAAAUUUUUUGAAAGUUAAAUUUCCUUCAUUAAAAUAUUCUUUAAUUGACUAUCCUUGUGAGUUUUUUUAAAUAUUUUAUGUAAAAUUCUUUUAAAAAAAAUAUUUUAUGUAAAAUCAAUAAUAUCAAUGUUUUAUAUAUUUUACAAUAAACAUCUUUUCUAUAUUUUAUAAAAUUUAUUGUUAAACUGUAUUAUAUUUUUCAUAUAACAUAAAUUUUAUAAUUAAUCAAUUAAACAAUUUGCCAUUAACUUUAUAUUUAUUCUAAUUAUUCAAUUUACUUUUAAAUAGUGUAAUAACUUGUUCUUAUUAAUUUUGUAAAUAAUUUAAUAAUAAAAUAGUAAGACUGGAAAUAUGUUAGUAAAAAAUUAUAAAAUUUAUUAAUUUAAUUAUAUUAGGUACAUUUUUCUAAAUAAUGAAAAGAAAAAAUAUCUUAUAAAAAUAAUAAUAAUAAACGCAUAGUGCGGUAGCAUGUACGCUUAUGUCGAUUCAGCCAAGCCAUGGGCGAUAAACGCAACGGACAACACCACACUGGCAACCCGUGGGCUAUUAGCUAAUCGAUUUCAUCGCCAAAUUUAUCAUUAUAACCAACAGCAAGAACACCGACAAUGCUUCGACUCUCUCUUUCCACCCUCUCCUUCUCUCGCUCGUUUCUCUCCCUACCACAGAAGCCCCGCAGAGCAUCUUACGUUAUGACAUAUACGGCGUCGUUUUCUUCUGCUCCUCCUUCUGGGUACUCUAGCAAGCUCUUGUUUCGCCAGCUUUUCGAGAAGGAGUCCUCUACCUAUACUUAUUUGCUCGCCGACGUCGCUCACCCUGAUAAGCCUGCUUUGGUUAGUCUUCUGUUCGUUGCUGGGAAAAUUGUUGUAAAUCUUUAUUCCAAUACAAAAACACUUAAUUCGUAACUAGAUAACGCACAUCUUAAGCUGUUAGGAUUUUAGUGUGUUUAAGCAUUAAAUUAAAUGCGAAUAUGUCAAAUAUUUGUAUAAGAUCAAUUGCUUGCUAGGCAAUUAAUUAUCUGUUCUCUGCAGUUGAUUGACCCGGUUGACAAGACAGUGGACAGAGACCUCACCCUUGUCGAAGAACUAGGGUUGAAGUUAAUUUAUGCCAUAAACACUCAUGUACAUGCUGAUCAUGUAACAGGAACCGGGUUGAUAAAGGUUUCAGCUACUUCCAUUUGCUUUAACACACCUAUGCUUUUGCUUAUUUUAUUAUUAAUAUUGUUAUUAUUAAUAUUGUUAUUUUUAAUCAAAAUUACAAUACUGCAAAUGAUUAUUUUUCGGUUCUUUUUUUCUUUCCUCUCAUUUGCAGACUAAGGUUCCUGGUGUCAAAUCUGUCAUUUCAAAGGCAAGCAAAUCAAAAGCUGAUGUUCUAAUUGAAGCUGGGGAUAAGAUACAUUUUGGUGAUUUGUUUCUGGAGGUAGGCUGCUGUUACUUUAGGUAUAUAUGUGCCUUCUUGGGUAGUAAAAUGAAAUAUGAUGAAGGAUCGUGUCUGUGCUAUAGUAAUUAUUAGUCACUACUCAGUCACAAAAUAAAAGUUGUUCACUAUUCAUUAAGUAUUUAAUGUGCUCUUUCUUGUUACUGUUGUGCGACUUCUGAAUAAUUCAUUCUUAUCAGGAUCUCAACUGUAAAGAUAAAGGUGAAAAUUUUGCCCCCUACUUUAAUAACUGAUCCUGGAGUUUAAACUAAGGGAUACAUUCAAUUUAUUCAAGAAAUUAUAGUUAUGCUGUUUAUUUUGUUGCAACAAUUUGUAAUUAGAGUAAGGUUCCUUCAAAAUUUGUGCCAAACUUUUGUAGUUGUUCUGGUUGCUUUUUGUCAAGAAAAGGUGCAUACUAGCUGUUUUGCAGUUGUGCAAGACUGGUAAAUACUGCUCACUUCAUUGCAAAUGCUUUAACUCUAGAGGUUUUCAGUUCACAACUGCAGCUGCUUCUAUGCCAUGCAGAUUGGGCAGAAUUAAGCACAACAGCUAUAUUAUCUUGUUCCUGGUUUAUUGCCGUUUGUCAUUUAUCUGUUCUGUCUAUUUUUAUGUCCAUUCAUCACUGAAUAAAUUAUUCUGUAUUGUUAUUUUGAUAGGUUCGAGCUACUCCUGGCCAUACAGUAGGUUGUGUUACUUAUGUUACUGGAGAUGGGCCUGAUCAACCCCAACCAAGGAUGGCUUUCACUGGGGACACUUUGCUAAUACGGGGAUGUGGAAGAACUGAUUUUCAGGUUUGGUAUCUUAAAUUUUAUUCAUUAUUGUUACUAUUUUUUUUUCAUGAAAGCAAACGUCUUAGAGAAGACAUCAAGCUGUGUGUCUAACCUCAUUAAUUUACACAGGGGGGAAGUUCACAACAACUCUAUCAGUCAGUGCAUUCACAGGCAAGGACAUGAAAAGAACAUUAGUUUGUCAGUUUGAAGAUAAAUAAACUGUUAAUAUUAGACUUGACUCUGGGUUUAUUUAUUUAUGUUUUUAUGGAUUCAGAUAUUCACCUUGCCAAAGGAAACAUUGGUCUAUCCUGCUCAUGAUUACAAGGGAUCCACUGUAUGGGGUCUCUCCUUAUCUCUUAGUAGAUUAUUAUGAUAUUAUUUAACUCAUUCAUGAUAAUGCUAAACUUUUGUGUGAGUUGCAGGUUAGCACUGUUGAGGAGGAAAUGCUGUAUAACCCAAGGCUUACCAAAGAUGAGGUGAUCCUCAAGGCCUCUGGUUUCUUGCUAUAUCUUUUUUAUUUUAUUUUCUCUAACAAAAUUUCACUUGACAUGAUUGUUAUCAAAUUUAUUAUGAGUGUAUCAGUGCAAUUUGUACUUUUGUUACCAUGACAAACUCACAUGUAGUAAAAAUUUGUGUGAUUCACUAGUUUGUUUGCCUGUUGAUUGAUUAUUAACAUUUAGGUAGAAUAGGCACAGCAGUAGUUUGACAAUGUGGUAGAAACCAAGUGAAAUUUGAUUAUCCAUAUUUCGGUCUGUGUUGUACUUUUCACAAUUGUCUCUAAUUGGUGUGAAUUUUGAUAUAUUUUUCAGGAAAAGUUUAAGAGUAUUAUGGAAAGUAAGUGACAGCUGUACUCUGUAUCUAUUUAACUCUGCUGCUCAUUUUACAGCUACUCAAAGGUGAAUUUUAUGCAUUAUCAAUUUGCAGAUCUAAACCUUCCGUAUCCAAAGAUGAUCGACAUAGCUGUUCCUGCAAACAUGGUCUGUGGGUUGCAAGAUCCACCUGCGAAGCCUGUUGAGGCCUAGUCAAACUAGGAAUAGUCAGGUGUGUUCCUUCUACAGUAUUGCUGGAAAUGAGGCUAAGUUUUUCUAGCUUGGAAACAAGUUUCUUUGUGCUGAAAUUUUUUACCAAUGCACAAGUAUUUAAGAAUUUGGGAACAGGAGAACACCUUGAGAUUUUUUUUUUUUUUAAUGCUGAAAUUCUGGCUAUCCAAAUAUGAUUCACAUCAGGUAGUUUAGAUAUUAACUUUCAUUCUACAGCAUCCAUUAAUUAUCUACUAAUUGAGUGUUAUAGUGAAUGUUGACUUUGCAAUAAGAUUUUGACAUUGCUCAAAAGAGACCACAUAUGACUGCAGAAUUACUGGUAGUGCGUAAAUACCCAUUAUUUUCUGUUUGAUCCCUUGGAAUCGGGGGCUGCACAUCAAGAGGAAGCCCCCCCUUUCUAAUUCUUAUCCCAUCCAAAGCAACAAGGCAUAAAUCCGUUGCACUCAAGCACUUGGCUUGAGGAACCUAAACUGUUGAGCCAAUGAAGAGAUUUUGUAAACAUCAAAUUUUUAUGGUACAAAUCUUGAUUUGAGAACUUAAGCCUCAACUUUCUGGGGAAUGCGUAGCGGGCUAGAAUCUGCAAAGUAGAGAAUUUCUUAAUGAUAUGUUUCUAAAGGGCUCAUAGAAAUUUCUUAGUUAAGGCAAAAAAUGAUUUUCUUUGUCUUAAAGAGAAGAUGAUUUUCUUGUACUCAGAGUAGAUACUAUUUGACUAAGACAUGAAUAGCCAUUUAAAUUUAAAAUCUGUGAAUCGCUUCUAUUUUGACUUUCCAUCUAAAAUGUAAAAUCUAUGAAACAUCUUACCCAUCUUUUGUCCAGUUAACUGAGAUUACAGAAUGAAGGUAUUCUUUAUGAUCCAGCCCACAAUCCUAAAAGUUAAAAAAAAAAGGAAUUAGAGAGAGAGAGAGAGAGAGAGAAUAAAAGUGCAGUGGGAAACAUGAAGCAUCUUAGGAAGCUUACUUUGAGUUGGGACCAAGUAUUCUACAGUAUACUUGGUGCUCACUUCACAUUGCUUGUGCAAGUCUCACGGAAAGAUAAGUUAACUUGUGCAAGUGAAGCUGAGAUAAGCUUCUCUAAGCUUGAGUUGAGUGUCUGUGAGAGUGCUAGAGAGAGCACUAGUUUGAGAGUAAACAUCACUGUGUGUCUUGAGUCAAAGGGUUUGUGGAUGAGGUUGAUUAGAGGUUUUAUUAUUUUCUCGCAACAAUGAACAGACUUGGGGAGUAGGCUAAUUGCUAACCACUUAAACAUUGUGUUCCAAUUAUUUUGUCAUUAUGAGUAUAUUUUUCACAAAAAUAUUAGCAUAAAAGAAACCUAUAAUUCUGGAAGAGUGAAAUAAACACGUUAAAUGCCUCUCUCCUAUUGCUUUGGAUUCAAGGGUGAUCACGAUACUCUUCCCAAAUUUCUUACAAAAAUAACACAAACAAGGGAUAUUUUAAAACUGGAUCAAAAGCAAAAUAUAGGAACCAACAGCAGUUGAUGGAAAAUGGCGAGGAAAAGAAGAUAGGUGGGAGAUUUUGUUUCGGGAUCAUAUCUUCAAAUAACUGAUGUUUAUUUUUUUUUUUUUACUUCUUGCUAAUAAAGUUAAAUUCAAGUCACCGUCAUGUUGAAAAUGAGGAUGUUAAAAGUCAAUUCUUUAUUUGAAUUCUUUCUAAAUUGUGCGUAAGAAAAUUUUUUUUCCUGUUUCCUCUUUAUUGAUGAAAAAUUGAAAUACAAGGCUGUAUUCACUGAUGUUGUUGUUUAUGGUUUUUUUAUUUUAUUUUGAAGGACAAAACGUGAAGUCUGGUUGAGUUUUUGUUUGGUUUUUUCGUUUUUCACUCCUUUCCCAUAACUGUUUCUAAAAUCGUAACUCUUUCCAAAACAAGAUUUUGGAAACCAUAAUUUAUGUCUUUCAUUUGUGGUUAUGGUUUUGAAGUGGGAUUCUCUAUCUACCUCCUAUAUUGCGCAGACACCUAUACACAUGCUUGCAACUAUUUAUACAAUUUCUUUUUUAGUUUUCCCUCUUAGUUUCCCUUUCUCCUAUUAAUUUCAAAAACUUAUGGAAAUUAUGGAUUUAUAAGUAAUUACCAAGAUUAAAACAUUCUGCAGCUUGGCUUUGAUGACCAAUAAUUAUAGGUAAUUUAAAGUCUAGUGCUUGGUUUAAUAUUUCCUUGUCAUGAGAAAUUGAUGGAUGAUGGGUCUCUUAUGUUUAUGGUGGUUAUUUUUAGUUGUAUAAAUAAGUGUGUUAUGUUCACAGCGGUAGGGAAAAAGCAAAUCAAAUUAGUAAUCAGUUUCCCAAACUUUAACAAUCAAAAUGGUAGAUAAAAAAAAAAAACCAAUAACGUUACUAAGCAGAGCCUAAUUUCUCCAGUAGAUGUGUUAAAAACUUUAAAUAUGUCAUUUUUCUAGCCAUGUGGAUGUAGGAUAUGGAAGAAUUUGGACAAUCACUGAUAUUGAGUACUUUAAGGCACAAUAAUGUCAAGCUUCAUGACUCGAUUAGCACUUCUUUUUUUAUGUGUAGGGACUAAAAUUACCCUUAUUCUAUAACACUGUUUUUUGGUGCAUGCAGCUGUUUUAUGUUUUUACUUCUUGGUCUAGUUUUCCUUGAUGAACGAUUCAGUUAUUCUACUUAGUUUGAAGUGUAGUUCAAUUGAGUUAAAAGUUAAAACCCUUUUCCAAUUCUUAGUUCUUUUUUUCUUAUUCAUCUGGUGUCUGGGAGUUGUUUUGGACUUUUAGUUUACCAUUCUGUUUCUCAUUGUUCAUGUUUCAACUUUCAACCCAUACCCUUGGUGAUGAAUAGCAAUAUAUAAUCAUUUCUAUUUUGUUAAGGUCCAAGCUUGAGCAAUCCGUGUCUUCUGAUGGCUACAGUUUUUGGCUAGCAGAUAUGAAGAGUCUUUGUCAAAGCCUGUUGUUUAUCACACGGUCAGUUAUUAUGGAGGCAAAUCCCUGUCACAAUGAACUCCACUUAAUAAAGAAGUUCAAGAUAAAGUCUUCUGCAUCAGCAUCACACCGAUAUUUGCCAAAAUGCAGGUUCUUCAACUCAGUACAAUACUUCCUUUGAUUAAGGAUUUGCAUUGCGGUGUAGCACACAUAGCUAAUAUCUUGGCCGUGUUACCUUGUUCCCCCAGCUUCUUUGUGUAAUAAAUUAUGGAAAACCACUCCAUUUGUAAAAACCGGUCUAAUUGUCUUUAAAUAAAGAGUGCAUUUUAUACAAGUUGGAUAUCAUUUGAGAACAAUUUAACAACCUUCAUAUUAAUUGUUUAUUAAAUGAAAUCAUGAAUUUAAAUAAAAACAUUUACUCUAAUGGUUAUCAAAUUCAUCGUCCUAUGAAUUUGAGCCCUCCCAAGUGUUGCUGUAAAUGAAAGAUUUAUGCAUUUGUUAUCUUAAUUUUGAGUAUGUUUUAAUUAGUUUUGCCCAAGUUUUAUCGUUAUACUAGAUUAAACAAAUAGGUUAGGGAUUAAUUGUUCAGAUAUUAAUUUUGGAGUAUAAGAGUUUAUUUAUAUCCCUCUUUCUCUAUAAAGAUUUAGAAAUGUAUCCAAUCUUCUCUCCAGCUUGUGAACUUGGGGUUAGGCCCAUUCUUUCUAGGGUUUUGAACAUUGAGUUGUGCUCUCUCGUUAGGCCAAUUGAAGCCUGAUUUUAUUUAUGAAUUUUCUUCAUUUUUUAAAGAAGGAAAUAUGUAUACAUAUUGAUGACCUCUGGAUUUCUUCACCCCGGACUGAGGCCAGGCCCAUUAGGAUAGCCCAUAAUUCGAAGGCUUCUAAAUCUCUUUUAAGAGCCAGGUCCAGCCCGCUCAGCUCAAAGACCGGACUCCAAUCAGAUUCUCCAAUCAGGCCGGCCCAGCUCAUUCGGCCCAAUGAACAGAUCCCCUCUGGGCCUAACCUUAUCCUUAUCUUCUGGCCCAGUUCGGAACCCAGAAGGAAUUCAGCCCAUUCGCUUUGUGGGACCAUCCGCAUGCGUACCUGGGGAGAAUCAGGGGUCGUUAUGCAUGGGACAGAGAUCUGAUUCCCUUGUACAUCCGUAUCAACGUAGCAGGGACAGGUGGUCCAAUGAUACACGUUCUGCUACACGUCACUAGCUGCCAAAAGGAAACAUAUAAAAGGAGAAAUACUCUCCUCUAGUUCUAAGUUUUUUUCAGUCUUACAGAACCCAUUGUAAAACCCUAUUUUCUGGAUCUCAGCUCAUCAAUUGGCGCCGUCUGUGGGAAACGAAGGAGAUCUUUUCUUCGCCGGAGUUCCACUCUCACACAUACCCACUGAGAUCCACAAUGGCUAACCACAACGAAAACAAUCUUGUCACUCCAAAUGACCUGAGCUCUGCCUAAGAGGGGCAGCAGUUCUCUUUUUUCAGUCCUACAACACCAAAUAGCCAAACACCAAUCCCUUUCAACCCCUCGCCAAGCCUGGCGGGGAAUGCUUCCGCCGCCACCUUGUCCAACCAAGACCUCCAAACCAUGGUCCUUCAACUACAGAGCACCGCCCACUGGUUGGGGCAAAUAAUGCAACAACGGGGCCUUAGCACCCCCACCAACGUACCACCGGUGGUAGAAGAACCCUAGACCAACGAACCUCAGCCUACCUUCAACCACCCCAGAACUGUCAGCCAAGAAACCGGAGACGGGAGGAGGAGAGCCGAAGAAGAGGAAGAGCCGGCAGCUCGAGUUCAUGGGAGAAGGGCGAGGGAGAUGAUAGAAAAUGAUGAAGUCGAUAGCUACUCCGCCGAAACCACCGGAAGAAUGGGGAGUGAAACAUGGGAAGAGGAGGCCUACCAGGAGAGGAAGCCCAGGCGGGAAGGGGAGAGCGUAGACCAAAAGCUGCAGAAGUUGAGGGAGCAGCUCUUGGCCGAGCUGGGAGCGAAGGGUCAGAACCAAACUCUCCUACCCACUGCUUCACCCUUCUCAAAAUGGGUGCAGCAGGAGACUAUGCCUAAGAAGUUUAUGAUGCCACCAAUGGCAGCCUAUGACGGGGCUGGGAACCCUAGGGAGCAUGUCUUGAACUACAAGACUUUCAUGGAGCUGCAGACUCUGUCAGAUGCCUUGAUGUGCAAGGUAUUCCCAACGACGCUCUCAGGUCCGGCAAGAACAUGGUUCAAUAACCUUGGGGCCGGAAGUAUUGGCAGUUUUGAAGAUCUAGCCACCCGCUUCAUCAGCAAAUUUAUUGCCGGGGUGCCUGCGGAUAGGAAGACGAGCUACCUGGAGACAAUCAGGCAGAGGAAAGACAAAUCACUCAGGGAGUAUGUCGCUCGUUUCAAUAUAGAGGCCCUGCAGAUCUCCGAGCUCGAUGAAGGAAGGGCUGUAGAAUCCAUGCAGAAGGGGACGACCUCAGCCGAGUUCUUUGGUUCACUGAGCAGGAAGCCUUCGACCUCACUGGCCGAGCUGAUGAAACGGGCCGAAAAAUAUAUAAGGCAGGACGAUGCUUUGGAGACAAGCAGGUUCGCCAGGGGAGCGACAGAUAAAGGGAAAGCACCGGAGGAGGGAAGGCCGGAGAGGCGCAAGAAAAAGCAUGGCAAGAGACCUGAACCGUACAGACAACCCUGAGAGCGCAGGGACUAAAGACCUUCCCCUCGGGCCUUAGAACAAAGGUCACUCCCCCCGUGGGUCCCGGAAACACCGACUCCCCUCAACGUUUCUAGAGCCGAAGUGCUCAUGGCCGUCCAGGACAAGGAGUUCCUCCAAUGUCCUCGGCCCAUGAAAGCAGAAGCAAACCAGAGAGAUCCUGACAAGUAUUGCCAGUACCAUCGCGCACACGGCCACGACACCAACAACUACUUCCAAUUGAUAACAGAAAUAGAAAGGCUGAUAAAGAGAGGGCAUCUGAAAAACUUCGUGAAAAGACCGGAGGGACAGAGACCUCAGCCUAAUCCGGCAGUCCCAGUGCUGAGGAGAACGGGAGCUGGGCCAGUGAAUGAUGGAUCCAGCGGGACCAUCAACAUGAUUGUUGGGGGAACAGGGGGUCGGAUGAGCCGUAGGGGAAAGAAGAGAAGUUGAGAAGGGGAAGGCAACAGCACUGAGGUCAUGCAGGUCAUCGAGCACACUCCCAUGGCCAUCACUUUCUCUCCGGAGGAUGCUCAGGGUAUUCAGAUGCCCCAUGACGAUGCCCUUGUCAUUGAGGCCGUCAUACACAACUAUCGGGUGAAGAAGAUCCUAGUGGAUGACGGGAGCAAGAUGAACCUGUUGCCUUACUGGGUUUUUCAGUAGAUGGGAAUUCCCGGAGAACAGCUGGUCCGGGACCAAGCACCGGUCAAAGGGAUCGGAGGAGUACCGGUGCCCGUGGAGGGGAAGGUGAAACUGGCCCUCACCUUGGGAGAAACACCAAGAACUCGCACCCACUAUGCGGUGUUUUUGGUGGCUAAACUCCCUCUGAGCUACAACGCAAUCCUGGGAAGACCUGCGCUAUAUGACUUUGAGGCCGUCACUAGUAUCAGAUAUCUGGCGAUGAAGUUCCCCACAGAAGUAGGGGUGGGAGUAGUUCGGGGAAGCCAGGAGGAAGCAAGAGCAGUGUACCUAGCUACGGUAGCAGAGCCGAGCUCAACAGAGAAAAGGCUGGAUUCAAAAAACAGAGGCCAGGACAGAACCGGUGGGGGAACUGGAGAUUUUUCCCUUAUCAGAAGAAGAAACAGGUAAAGUCUUCAGUCUCAACGCCGGCCUCACCAAGGAACAGAAAACCGAGGUCAUGGCUCUGAUCCAAGGUCAUGCAUCGAGCUUCGCCUAGAAGUCUUCUGACAUGCCCGGGAUUGACCCAGGGGUGAUGACGCACAAGUUAAAUGUCCUCCCCGAGGCUAGGCCAGUAAAGCAGGAAAAAAGGGUGGUAGGAAGGGAGAAGCAACAAGCCACCAGGGAGGAAGUACAGAAGUUAGAAGAGGCAGGCUUUAUUAGGGAAGUCAUGUACCCGCAGUGGUUAGCAAAUCCUGUAUUAGUCAAAAAAGCCAAUGGCAAAUAUAGGAUGUGCAUAGAUUUUACUGACUUGAAUAAGGCCUGCCCUAAAGAUUGUUAUCCCCUCCCUGAUAUUAAUAAAAUGGUCGACUCUACGGCCGGUUUCGAUUAUAUGUCUUCUUUGGAUGCUAUGUCUGGUUAUCAUCAAAUCCCAAUGGAUAGGUCGGAUGAAGAAAAGACCUCGUUCAUAACAGAAGAUGGGACUUACUGCUAUAGAGCUAUGCCUUUCGGGUUGAAAAACGCCGGAGCAACCUAUCAAAGACUGAUGAACAAGGUCUUCAAAUAUCAGAUCGGCAGAAACGUAGAAGUUUACGUGGAUGAUAUGGUGGUCAAGAGCCCAACUUUCCAACAGCACAUGGCAGAUUUGAGGGAAGUAUUCGGGGUAUUAGAUCAGUACAGAAUGAAGCUGAAUCCAGCAAAAUGUGCCUUUUUCAUCAGGGAGGAAAAUUCUUGGGGUACAUGGUGAGUGGAAGAGGCAUUGAGCCUAAUCCGGAGAAGGUAGAGGCCAUACUGAAUAUGUCAGAACCGACCUGUGUAAGGGACGUCCAGAGACUAACCGGGAAAGUAGUAGCGCUUAAUCGAUUCAUGUCAAGGUCGACAGAAAAAUGCUUACCAUUCUUCAAAAAGUUGAGGAAAGUGCCAAACUUCGAAUGGACAGAAGACUGCCGAGAAGCUUUCAAAGAGCUCAAAAGCUACCUCAGCUCCCCUCAUGUGCUCAGUAGCGCCUUGGAAGGAGAGGAACUCCUGAUAUACUUGGUAGCCUCUGAACAAGCGAUUAGUGCAGUAUUGGUAAGGGUAGAUGAAGGAGAACAAAAGCCGGUAUUUUACGUCAGUAAGGUACUUAAGGGUGCCGAGAUUAGAUACCUGAACAUUGAAAAGGUGGCGUAUGCUCUGUUGCUAGCAGUUCGAAAGUUUAGGGUCUACCUGGAAAGCCAUCAAGGUAUAGUGAUGAUGGACCAACCUCUGAAGAAGAUUCUACACAGGCCGGAAACCUCAGGCCGGAUGCUGGCUUGGUCCGUAGAGAUUAGCCCUUACUGCUUAGAAUAUCGACCUCGGACAGCUAUAAAAUCUCAAGCCCUUGCCGACUUCAUAGCAGAAUGUACAUUCAAAGAAGAGCGGGAAGAGUCUUCUUCAGAAGUGUUGGAGAAGGGAAGUGAGGGAGAGCCUUUGCAAGAGUUCAAAUGGAAGUUAUAUGUAGAUGGGGCAUCAGGCGCGGGGGGCAGUGGUGCCAGAAUAAUGCUCAAGGGGCCUGGAGAAUUCAAGGUCUGCUACGCCUUGCGCCUAGAAUUCAAGGCCUCCAAUAAUGUGGAGGAGUAUGAGGCCCUAAUAAACGAGAUGCUGGUGGCAAUGGAAGUAGGGGCAACCGAUCUCGAGGUGAAUAGUGACUCCCAGCUGGUGAUCAAUCAGGUAACUGGGGCAUAUCAGGCCAGAGACCCGACCAUGCGAAAUUACCUAACAGAAGUAAAAGCUAUAGAAGCCGAGCUCAUGAGCAGGGGUGUUGCCAUCAAAUUUCAAAGAAUACCUCGAGAAGAAAAUGAGGAAGCAGACCUGCUUAGUCGGUUGUCGAAGAAAGAAUUAGAACAGCUCCCUGACGAGGUAUACAUACAACACAUCAACACGCCUACUUUUAAUAAAACAAUCACUGUAUUGCAGAUAGAACAAAGCCAGACCUGGAUGACCCCAUACCUGGAAUAUCUGGAAAAAGGAAAGCUCCCUGAAGACAAGGAUGAAGCAAGAAAGAUAGCAGCUUGUGCUGCUAAUUACCAAGCAGUAAGGGGGACCUUGUACUGAAGGGGGAAGUCCAGCCCAUGGCUCCGGUGUGUGAGCCCGGGGGAGGCGAUAAAAGUGAUGGAAGAGAUACCCAGAGGAAUAUGCGGAGCUCACGAAGGGGCAGGAACGCUGGCUAAUAAAAUAUUCAGGCAAGGGUAUUAUUGGCCCACUGUCAAAAGAGAGGCGGAAGAGUUCGUCCGGAAAUGCGAUAUAUGCCAGAGGUUCGCCAACGCCAUCAAUAUCCCAGCCACUCCUCAAUCCAACAUAUCCAGCCCCUAGCCCUUCUCACAAUGGGGAAUAGACAUCCUGGGACCCUUUCCCAAGACCACAGGACAGAGAAAAUUCGUAGUGGUGGCUGUGGAGUACUUCUCAAAAUGGCUAGAGGCAGAGGCAAUCCCUACAAUCACAGCCCGCCAGAUGAUAGAUUUCGUAUGGGUGCACAUCAUCUGCAGAUUCGGCAUACCGAUGGUGCUCGUUUCAGACAACGGCAGGCAGUUUGACUGCAACACCUUCAAAGCAUUUACGGCCAACAUGGACAUAUGGCACAAGUUCUCCUCAGUGGCCCAUCCUCAGACCAACGGCCAAACGGAGGUCACCAACCGAGCUAUCCUCUAAGGAUUGAAGAAACGGCUGGAUGGGGCAAAGGUGAACUGGGCGGAAGAGCUCAACAGCAUUCUAUGGGCACUCCGAACUACUCCCAGAACGUCCACUAAGGAAACGCCCUUUGCACUUGCUUUUGGCACAGAGGCCGUAGUCUCCAUCGAGUUACAAGUUCCCACUCAUCGAGUUCAAUUUGCUAACAAAAGCACCAACAGUGACAAAUUGAGAAGUAACCUUGAUGCCCUCGAAGAGAUUAGAGAGGAAGCCCAAGUCCGAACUGCCGCUUAUCAACAACGAACAGCUUGCUACUACAACCAAAGGGUCAGAGAAAGAAGCCUAAAGGUGGGAGACCUAGCCCUGAGAAACCUGGAGGCUACGGGAAAGAGAGCGGCAGUAGGCAAAUUAGCACCGACCUAGGAGGGCCGCUUUAGAAUAACAAAAGUGAUCAGGGCAGGAGUAUACCGAAUUGAAAAUAUGCAGGGAAACCCUGAGCCCCAUGCCUGGAAUAUCCAACACUUGAAAAGAUACUUCCCUUGAGGUAUCGAUAAAUGCAAAAGACUUAUUGUAUUUUAAAAGCAUGGUAAUAAAACAGGCGAUGCUUAUCGUCUCGAUUCAUUAUUUAUCUCUGCUCACUUGGCACUCAUAAAAGAAACAAAAGGGAAAAAUGAAACAGGCACAAGUGCCCAAGACCUCAGUUAGGCACAAAACCAGCUGAGAUGGCGAAGCGACAGUAAGGCCAAUGAGCCUGAAUCUUGCUCAAGACCUCAGUUAGGCACAAAACCAGCUGAGAUGACGAAGCGACAGUAAGGCCACAGAGCCCGAAUCUUACAAAAGACCUCAAAGAAGGUACAAGGCCGGCGGAUCUCAAAGAUCUCCCGGAGCAAAAACGGCCGGCGGGAUCAACAAGAUCUCCCCGGAGCAAAAACGGCUGGGAUCCCGUAAGAUCUCCUGGAGCAAAAACGGCCGGCAGGAUCAACAAGAUCUCCCCGGAGCAAAAACGGCCGGGAUCCCAUAAGAUCUCCUGGAGCAAAAACGGCCGACGGGAUCAACGAGAUCUCCCUGGAGCAAAAACGGCCACGAUCCCGUAAGAUCUCCUGGAGCAAAAAUGGUCGACGGGAUCAACAAGAUUUCCUCAGAACAAAAAUGACCUGGAGCCCUGAAAUACAGCCCGUUUGAGGCUCGUCAAGAAAGCAAGAAAUUAAGCGCUGACUUCACAAAAAAGAAGGAGAAUUUCCGAACUCAUGAGCUCGUCACACAAACAGCGCAAAAGCUGUAGCACGAAAAUCCAAGUAAAUAACAAAAGUCCGAGCUCCCUGGUCAGCUGAAUGGGCGAACUCACGACAAAGGCAAAUGAUCCCACCCACAGCUCGGAUCAACUCGCAAUAAACAAACGCUUAACAAAAACAACCCUGGGAGAGGACAACGAUAACACAGCCGAACUCCCCCUCCCAGUGGGGCAUACAGCCCACACCGCACCAACUGACAAAGGAUAACCUCAAAGGAGAGCAGAUACCCGAACUCAUCACCAGACAGAGAGGCAAAAUCGUCUAAAAUGAAGCAGCGCCAUUCCAAAUGAAGUUUAGGGAUUUACCCCCUCACCACUCACGUCAUAAAUGCUAAGGAGGUAAAAGGGCAAUUCGAGGAAAAAUCCAAAGGCAUGAGUAGAUGAAACCCUAGUUUCAGCUCUUAUCAAAUUGGAACUAAGAACAAAAAGGCCAGCCCUGCUUAUCACCUUCAAAGGUACGCAAUCUGACACACUACUAUUAAACAAGGGUUGUAUGACCGAACUCAUAAUAACGAAGUAAUAAGAGAAAAAUGAGGUUGUCCUUGCAAGAAUCAUAAGAACUUGCAGGACGAGAGUCCAGCCCCAUGUUAAAAACAGAGCUCAUAGGUAAGGAUAGUCCAGCCCGGAAAGAGCUUACAGAUAAGAAUGCCUUAGCAAAAUAAAUGAGUCUAUAAGCCAAAAGUUCAGUCAAUUAGUAGAAUUCUAGUUUUGAUGAGUUUGAAAGCAAAAAGAAGAAAACAAGCAAAAUAAGUAAAAAUAAAGUUUCAUUAAAAGAAAAGUACAUUUAUAGCAUGUUACAAGUGCCUACUCCACUGAAGGAAAAACUGUCCUCAAAGGACUUACACGACCAGAGGCGCUAUUAUCUACCCUGUUCCCUUUUUAGCUCGGCGAACUCCUUAUACUCCCUUAGAGGUCCCCUACUCUCCAACCGAACUCUAUCUCGUUAUUAUAGGAGAGCUGAACAAGUUGAUCCCCAUAAGCAUCUCUCACUGUUCCAUCAUAAGCAGGCUUCCUGUCGCCCAAGUGUGAUGCACGAUACACUCGAGCAAGCCGAGAAAAAUUGACGAGGCAUUCUGAAGAGCAAUGGAACAAGUGAAUGUUGCAAAUCUACACACAUACUAUGUUGGACUAAUUUUAGCAGAUUACCCUUGCUAAUAUUACGUGUGUGAACAGCAUCUUGUAUCUCACAGUAAGCCUCAGAAACCAUGUUAUUCCAUGAGUUUGAGUCAGGAGCAGACAUCAGGGGCACCACGAGAAUCCUCUCCUCCUCCCCGGGAGAAAGAAAGACAGGAGCCGAUCUUCUGGAAGCCCAAGACUUCUUUGGAGCGCGAACCAAGGCAAGCACUUUGAGGAGAAUGGGACACUUGCCUCCGACCUACUCCGCUACACCCCCAUUAUCCACAAAGCUGAGUUCCCUAUCCUCGGCAGUCGGACCGACCUCGGAAGGGACCCCAUAGACAUUCCUCAUAGAGGCGACCUCAGCCCUACUAGCAAGGGUCCCCAUCUCAGCUAUGAAGGCCUCAUGCCUCUCUUCAGAAGCAUCGCCAAAAGACAGGGCAGGCUUCGCUGUCGUCAAACCAGAGUCCUCGCUCGGCCUUGAAGCCCGAGAGAACUUGAGAGCUUGAACAACCAGCACGGCUGAGACGGACUUGUCAAUACUUGGCUGCCUUAAAGAUUCGGCACCGCGAAAGCUCGGCUCCGGAGCUUGGGCAGGAACAAGAGAAGGAGGCCGGCUGGACGACCCGAACGAUAUAACUUCGGCCACUAGCUGGGUAAACCCCCCCCCCCGCCGAUUGUCCAACCAGGAGGGCAUUCAGGGCUACAUUCAGGCUCUCCCUGGACAACGUAAGAAUUUUAGGGGGUUCAAUCUGAUUCAUCUUCACCAAAGAAACUGCAAAAAAUCCAAAACCGGAGCAAGUCAGAACGGCUCUCAACAAGAAUCACAAAAGAAGAUCAAAAUGGACAUCUAUAAGGGACAAGGUAAUAAAACUUUCGGCUCGCCUUGACCAGCCCGAAUAAGGUACCAAACGGAUGCCUCAAGAACGUGAAACCCCCGCUCGGACAGAUAGGUUCAAAAGAAACUAUGAAGAGAAUAAAAUUAGUGGCUGACACUUGAGAAGCAAUCUCGAAAUGCUAUAAAAAUCCCAUGGAAGAAAAGAAAUAAGAGAAAGGAGUUCACACCUGCAUGAAGAUCGAUUAUACCAGAGGUAUAUGGAUCAGAAGGAAAGACCCCUCCAUCCUGGCGAAGGUCCUGAAAGGGAAGAAGGGGGCGAUAUCGUGAGAUACCCCGAGAAGGAGGUUCUUAUGCUGAACGAUGUGAUGCUAGACUCUAGGCUAGCGGCGUCAGGAUCCUUAAAGGAUAUGCAUAGAAAAGGAAGGAAGGCGUAUCUGGAAAAUAAAAGCAAGAAAGUGAAGACGAUAGUACGCACAAAGAACAGAGGAAAGCCAGAAAUGGAAAAAGACAGAGGGGACUCGAAAGUCAAAAGGACAAAAAGAUGAAAAGGCAUUACGAAGGAAGCAGUACAUAAACAGACGCGGUCAUAAUGAUUCUUGGGAUUUACCCCCUCAUCAGUCGAAGCAAUAACUGACGAGAAGGUAAAGGGGUAAUUGAUGACCGCUGGGUUUCUUCACCCCGGACUGAGGCCAGGCCCAUUAGGACAGCCCAUAAUCCGAAGGCUUCUAAAUCUCUUUUAAGAGCCAGGUCCAGCCCGCUCAGCUCAAAGACCGGACUCCAGUCAGAUUCUCCAAUCAGGCCGGCCCAGCUCAUUCGGCCCAAUGAACAGAUCCCCUCUGGACCUAGCCUUAUCCUUAUCUUCUGGCCCAGCUCGGAACCCAGAAGGAGUUCAGCCCAUUCGCUUUGUGGGACCAUCCACAUGCGUAUCUGGGGAGAAUCAGGGGCCGUUAUGCAUGGGACAGAGAUCUGAUUCCCUUGUACGUCUGUAUCAACGUAGCAGGGACAGGUGGUCCAAUGAUACACGUUCUGCUACACGUCACUAGCUGCCAAAAGUAAACAUAUAAAAGGAGAAAUACUCUCCUCUAGGUCUAAGUUUUUUCCAGUCUUACAGAACCCAUUAUAAAACCCUAUUUUCUGGAUCUCAGCUCAUCACAUAUUAAAAUAAUUUUGUUCAAAACUGAGUUUAAUGUAAAUUGAAAAAGAUUAAGGUCAAUUAAAAUGAGUGGAAUGGAGGAUAAGAAGAUUUGAAAUUUGAUGGGGAGAGUUAAGAGUUUAAAACAAGUAAUCAAAGGAAUUCCAAAGUCUAAGCAUAUGGGUUGUGGUUUUGAAAUUCAACAUAGAAAAAUUUGUUAACAUCCAAAUGCAAGAAGACAGAUUUGGAAUGGAAAUUCUCAAAAUCUUUUGGUGUCUCCAAGAAACUAAACACUUCUUAUUUCAAUAUUUGAUGUGGCAAACCAACGGUUUGAUUGCGUGUUGGAAUUCCCACUUCUCUGCACCAAACAACUAUUCUUCAACUUAAUUCCAUCCUCCUUAUUCACAUCUAAUAUUAUACUAUUUAUUUAUUUAUUAUCAAUUACUAUUUAUAUAUUCAUUUUACAAUCCUCAUAUUAAUUAUUAAUUAUAAUAAAUUUUACAUGAGAUGCAUUGAUUAUUAUUAUAAUACAAUCGUCCGUAUGAUAAAAUUUCUGGUCAGCUUAGGGCAUUGGACUGGAUUUCCUAACACAGCUCUCGCUUUCAUCAUUAGCGCAUUUAUUGCUCAAAAACCACUCCACAAUUUGUAUUUCUCUUAUUAGAUUUAGACCCUUCUUUCCUUUUUAAUUUUGUUUUUUUUUUAAAUAUAAAAUUUAGUUUUUUUUUAGAUACAACAUCAUUUGUGAUUCAAUCAAUUUAAAUUAAUUAAAUAUCAAUUUAAUGAGUUAAUUAGUAGAAAUUUUAAUUAAAAUUUUGUGAAUAUAUUCAUCAAAUAUAAAAUUUUCUCUAAAGCCUUAUAAACCCACUUUGGUAUCAAGUCUCUGAAAGAAAAUUUAAAUUUCAAUUAUUAAGAGGAGAUCAUAGAAAAACUGGUGCUUAACGAAUUUUUAUAAUAAUAAAUAGUACUAAUAAUAUAUUUUACUUAAUUUAUUGUGGGUAUUUAUUUAAAUUAAUAAUUCAACGCAUUCCAGUUUCUGCUUUUGUGUGUCACUUUCUUCAAUGGCUAGUCAAAGGAAAUGGGUUUCUUGGUUUGGCUUUGCAUUCAAAACAAGGUCAAAACUCACACCUAAAAGACCACUCUCCAAUCUCCCAUCACUGUUCAAUCUCUCUCUUUCUCUCUCUAUCCCAAGAGACUUUUACUUCAAUUUUUUUUUUUUUUAAAAAAGGGCUUGUUGGGUUGGUUCUUGUGAUUGAAAGCUAAUGAAACAGGAAACCAGGGGGAAGAAACCCAACAAGCACAAGAGCCAGAAGAAGAAGAAGAAGCAGACGACCAGGUAAAUAUAUGAAUCCCACCAUUAAUUGCAGACUGUUCUUUCUUUUCUUUUCUUUUCUUUUCCCUCAUUUCAUGGUAAUGUGAAACCGCGUUUCAACAGUGCCAUCUUUGAAACGGUAAUAUUCAAUUCAAAGUCUUAGUUUUUUAUUUUGAUUAUUACAUUUUAACAUACUUUAACUCAUAAAGACUUCAGCUUUCUAUUCUCUUUUCUUCCUUCAUUUUUGGUUUCCUUAAAUACCAAUAGCUUUUCCUGUCAUUUCAUCCUUCUGGGAUUUUUUUUUUCAUUUUCUUGGCUGAAAACCCAGUUGUUUUUUAGUUUCCUUCAAAGGGUACUUUCUUUUCUUGAUGUAGGAUUUUCUCGUCGUCCAAACAAGAAGUUGUGGUUGCCAUGUUGUCCAAGUUCUCUCUCCUUCUUGUCCUUCUAUUGCUCUUUUCUGGUGCUUUUGAAGCGAUUGAAGGAGUUCAUGAGCAUAAGAAGAAUUUAAAUUCCAAUAUCUCAACUGUUGCCGGAAUCGAAUUGCCUGAACAUAUGACCUUCAAUGCAGUUUCUUCUUCACCAAUGAAAACAGACUGCAAGCUCUCCAGGUCAAGGAAAGACCAACCAACACAAUCAAUAGCUGCCCAAGAAGAGGAAGAUGACAACGACGACGAUGAUGAUGAUCUUGAUGUUUAUGUUCAUGGCGAUGAAGGAAAAGAUUCAAAAACGGUGAAACUCGAGUUAAAACGCAGGCACAGGUCGAUGAAUCAAGAAUCUAAAGCAGAGGAAUCUUUCAUAGCUUCAACCACUCGGGAUUUGACCAGAAUUCAGACUCUACACAAGAGGAUCACAGAAAAAAAGAAUCAAAAUGCCAUUUCAAGAUUAACCAAAGGUAUGAAGGAGCAAAGGGAACUUUUGAAGCAACCUGUGGUUGCCCCAGCAGCAUCACCGGAAUCUUAUUCAACUGGGAUUUCAGGGCAGCUCAUGGCGACCUUGGAGUCAGGGGUGAGCCUUGGCUCUGGAGAAUACUUUAUGGAUGUUUUCAUUGGUACCCCACCUAAACACUUCCCUUUGAUUCUUGAUACUGGUAGUGAUCUUAAUUGGAUUCAAUGUGUUCCAUGCCAUGACUGUUUUGAGCAAAAUGGGCCUUACUAUGAUCCUAAGGAGUCAACUUCUUUUAAAAAUAUAAGCUGCAAAGAUCCUCGUUGCCAUUUGGUUUCUUCCCCUGAUCCUCCCCAGCCUUGCAAGGCUGUGAACCAAACUUGUCCUUAUUUCUAUUGGUACGGUGAUAGUUCAAACACAACAGGUGAUUUUGCAGUAGAAACCUUCACUGUUAACCUCACAUCGGCUGCUGGGAAUUCAGCAUUUAAGCGAGUAGAGAAUGUGAUGUUCGGUUGCGGCCAUUGGAACAGAGGCUUGUUUCAUGGAGCUGCAGGGUUGCUAGGACUUGGAAGAGGACCUCUUUCAUUUGCCUCUCAGCUUCAAUCUCUAUAUGGCCAUUCAUUUUCAUAUUGCCUUGUUGAUAGAAACAGUGACUCCAAUGUUAGCAGCAAAUUGAUCUUUGGAGAAGAUAAGGAUCUCUUGAGUCAUCCUGAGUUGAAUUUCACUUCAUUGGUUGCUGGGAAAGAAAACCCAGUUGAUACAUUUUAUUAUGUUCAAAUAAAAUCGAUCAUGGUCGGAGGAGAGGUGCUGAACAUACCUGAAAAAACUUGGAAUGUCUCCUCUGAUGGCGCCGGCGGCACGAUUGUGGAUUCCGGUACUACACUCAGUUAUUUUGCAGAACCAGCUUAUCAGAUUAUAAAGGAUGCAUUUGUGAAGAAGGUUAAAGGCUACCCAGUAUUAAAAGAUUUCCCAAUUCUGGAUCCUUGUUAUAAUGUCUCUGGAGUUGAGAAGAUGGAGCUGCCUGAAUUUGGAAUCCUGUUUGCAGAUGGAGCAAUGUGGAACUUCCCAGUUGAAAACUACUUCAUCCGGUUCGAACCAGAGGAAGUUGUUUGCUUGGCAAUUCUGGGGACUCCUCAAUCUGCUCUUUCCAUAAUUGGAAAUUAUCAGCAGCAGAAUUUCCACAUCUUAUAUGAUACAAACAAGUCUAGGCUGGGAUUUGCACCAAUGAACUGUGCAGAUGUAUAACAAUUUUCUAGGACUGAAGCGGUAGGAGGAGAAGAGAUACACAGUCAUUGAAGAUUCUGGUGGGCAAUUUUUGGUUUUUUUCUUUCAAAAUAGGCCUCGUUUUACAGAAAGUUAGAUUCAUUUUUUUUUUCUUCUUAAUUUUUACAUAAUUAUACUCACAAAAGUAUAUCAUUACAGUUAAUGUUUCCAUUUCCAUACACUGAAUGUCUUAUCACAUAAUCUUCCAGUGAUGAAUCUUGUUGUGUCAUCUGAUUGGUGAUUGAUUGUUACUCAUUCUUCCUCCUGUAUUGAUCACUCAUCUGGGUAUUUUUAGAAAUUAACUAGUUUUCAGAGCUAUGAUUAUGAUUAUGGAAGGAUUUAAAGAUAGAAUGUGUUUCAGAUAAUUGUGGCUGCAUAGAAUUAGAAUAAAAUCCUGGUUGUUUUCCUAACAUUAAUUGUUAUAUGUGUAAUGAAAGAGAGAGUCAACUGUUAGGUGCGCCACCCAAGUGCUGUAUGCAGACAAGGAAAUGGUCAACUUUUACGUGUAUAAAUUUUAUUGUUAUUAUUAUUUUCGUGUGCUUGAAGCUUUUUCAAGUUUGAAUGUGCCAUCAAAUUAUAGCAAUACUUGUAAAUUGAAAUUGGUACUGUCUGCUUAUUUAUUUAUUUAUUUGAUUUUGCAAUAAUUAGAUAUCCAUCACUACCGAAUGAAUAGCCUUUUCUUUCAAUGUACAAUAAAGGAGGCUGGCUUUUAUAAUGGCCGUGGAAGUUCCUUCUUUUCCACACAAUCUAUAGCUAGUGGAUGUUCACCCAACUUCAGGAAUUUCAAUCAAUUUUUUUAAAAAAAAAAAAUAUGAAAAUUACAUGUAUACAUAUUUGAAACAAAAAAUUUUCUUAUUUUUUUUAUUAAUUUCCACAAAUAAAAUAGAUAUUUAACUGCCUUUUCAAUUAUUUGAUUAAUAGAAAAAUACAAAGCCUAAAUGGAGGUCAAUAUUACAAAUGAAAUAAAAUUUUAACAGCCAAUUCAUUGGAUUUCUUAAAAAAAAAAAAAGGAAAUAGCUCAUACUCUCACAUUUUAAAGAUUAAAUUAUAAUUUAAUUUUGUUUUCAAGCGAUUAAUCUCUUCUACUAUUUCCCUGAGUUACAGAUGAAUCAAAGAGGGAGAAAAAUAAUUUUUUUUUGUUUAAUUUUAUUAACAUUUAUGACUAUCAUAAUAAAUAAUAAAUAAUAGAAUAAAUAAAUAAGUGGUUAUUAAAUUCAAAAUGUUUUCCAAAAUUUAACAAGUAUGCAUAAUUUUGCCAACUUUUAAAUUACUACAGUAUGAAGUAUCACUUAUGUUUAAACUAUCCAUUAUUAAAUAUUGAACAAACACACAUUUAUCUUUUGUUUAAUUGGAGAUUUCCGAUUUCAACCUACUAAAUUAAUUGUUUGAGAAGAUUUUAUCCUUCUUCUUAAAUAAUAAAAAUUAAUAAAAUUUAAAAAUCAUGAAAAAUAAUAUCUUAUGAAACCAUAUUUUUUUAAAACCUUAGUUAACCUUACCCCUUCCCUAAGAGAAUGUUAAUAAGGUGAAGGGUCAAGUUG